ACGGGUGAGUAACACGUAGGCAACCUGCCCUCAAGCUUGGGACAACUACCGGAAACGGUAGCUAAUACCGAAUACUUGUUUUCUUCGCCUGAAGGAAACUGGAAAGACGGAGCAAUCUGUCACUUGAGGAUGGGCCUGCGGCGCAUUAGCUAGUUGGUGAGGUAACAGCUCACCAAGGCGACGAUGCGUAGCCGACCUGAGAGGGUGAUCGGCCACACUGGGACUGAGACACGGCCCAGACUCCUACGGGAGGCAGCAGUAGGGAAUCUUCCGCAAUGGGCGAAAGCCUGACGGAGCAAUGCCGCGUGAGUGAUGAAGGUUUUCGGAUCGUAAAGCUCUGUUGCCAGGGAAGAACGCUUAGGAGAGUAACUGCUCCUGAGGUGACGGUACCUGAGAAGAAAGCCCCGGCUAACUACGUGCCAGCAGCCGCGGUAAUACGUAGGGGGCAAGCGUUGUCCGGAAUUAUUGGGCGUAAAGCGCGCGCAGGCGGUCAUUUAAGUCUGGUGUUUAAUCCCGGGGCUCAACCCCGGAUCGCACUGGAAACUGGGUGACUUGAGUGCAGAAGAGGAGAGUGGAAUUC
rnacentral:rRNA from 1 species